UGUUUGCACUUAUCGGGAAGGGUGAGAAUCUUCGACCAAGGUUCGAGUCGAGCGAAAGCGAGAAAACGUUGCCGCAGGCAACGGCCCGAAGGGUGAGGAGCGAAGCGACGAAUAAUCCUUCCCCCACCACCA
rnacentral:sRNA from 1 species